UAGCAAUAUAGAAUAUGUUCAGUGGCGCAAGGGUGCGUAACACGUGGGCAAUCUGCCGGGAAAUGGGGGAUAGCUCGCCGAAAGGCGAAUUAAUACCGCAUGUGGCAAGGGAGGACAUCCUUCCAAAGCUAAAGUCGGGGCAACCUGACGUUUCCUGAUGAGCCCGCGGCCUAUCAGCUAGUUGGUAAGGUAACGGCUUACCAAGGCUAUGACGGGUAGCUGGUCUGAGAGGACGACCAGCCACACUGGAACUGAGACACGGUCCAGACACCUACGGGUGGCAGCAGUCGAGAAUUUUUCUCAAUGGGGGAAACCCUGAAGGAGCGACGCCGCGUGGAGGAUGAAGGUUUUCGGAUUGUAAACUCCUGUCAUGAGGGAGCAAUGCUGCGGGUAGUAACUGACCUGCAGUUGAUAGUACCUCAAGAGGAAGGGACGGCUAACUCUGUGCCAGCAGCCGCGGUAGUACAGAGGUCCCGAGCGUUGUUCGGAUUCAUUGGGCGUAAAGGGUGCGUAGGCGGCGUUAUAAGUCGGAUGUGAAAUCUUAGGGCUCAACCCUGAAACUGCAUUCGAUACUGUAGCGCUAGAGGACUCUAGAGGAAACUGGAAUUCUCGGUGUAGCA
rnacentral:rRNA from 1 species